rnacentral:rRNA from 1 species
CACCGGCAGCCCAAGUGGUGGCCACUUUUACUGGGUCUAAAGCGUUCGUAGCCGGCUAAGCAAGUUCCUUGGGAAAUUUGAUCGCUUAGCGAUUAAGCUUUCAGGGAAUACUGUUUGGCUUGGGACCGGGAGAGGUCAGAGGUACCUCAAGGGUAGGGGUGAAAUCCGUUAAUCCUUGGGGGACCGCCAGUAGCGAAGGCGUCUGACCAGACCGGAUCCGACGGUGAGGGACGAAGGCUAGGGUAGCGAACCGGAUUAGAUACCCGGGUAGUCCUAGCUGUAAACGAUGCGGGCUAGGUGUUGGCAUUACUGCGAGUGAUGCCAGUGCCGAAGGGAGCCGUUAAGCCCGCCAUCUGGGGAGUACGGUCGCGAAGGCUAGAAACUUAAAGGAAUUGGGCGGGGAGCACUACGAACGGGUGGAGCCUGCGGUUC